UCCGAGUUGACCCCGGCAGUCUCCUACGAGUCCCCGGCAUUACCCGCUGGCAACAUAGGACAAGGGUUGCGCUCGUUGCGGGACUUAACCCAACAUCUCACGACACGAGCUGACAACAGCCAUGCAGCACCUGUGCAGGAUCUCCGAAGAGGGGCUCUCGUUUCUGAGAGCUUGCUCCUGCAUGUCAAGCCUAGGUAAGGUUCUUCACGUUGCGUCGAAUUAAACCACAUGCUCCACCGCUUGUGCGGACCCCCGCCAAUUCCUUUGAGUUUCAAUCUUGCGAUCGUACUUCCCAGGUGGGAUACUUAAUGCUUUCGCUCAGACACUUGCUGUGUAUCGCAAAUGUCGAGUAUCCAUAGUUUAGGGCGUGGACUAC
rnacentral:misc_RNA from 1 species